rnacentral:tRNA from 4 species
GCGCCUGUAGCUCAGUGGAUUAGAGCACUGGUCUUCGGAACCAGGUGUCGGGGGUUCGAAUCCCUCCAGGCGUG